rnacentral:rRNA from 1 species
UAAAAAGCUCGUAGUUGGAUCUGUGUAUCGGACGGCCGGUUCGCUGCUCGCAGCGUUCAACUGGUCGGUCCGGACGUCCUGCCGGUGGGCGUGCGCGCAAGCGUGCGUCCGUACUACCCUCCGGGCUGCUCUUAACCGGGUGGCCCGGUGGGCCGGCACGUUUACUUUGAACAAAUUUGAGUGCUCAAAGCAGGCCUUUGGUCGCCUGAAAACUGUGUGCAUGGAAUAAUGGAAUAGGGCCUCGGUUCUAUUUUGUUGGCUUUUCUGAACUUGAGGUAAUGAUUAAUAGGGACAGACGGGGGCAUUCGUAUUGCGACGUUAGAGGUGAAAUUCUUGGAUCGUCGCAAGACGAACGGAUGCGAAAGCGUUUGCCAAGAAUGUUUUCGCUAAUCAAGAACGAAAGUUAGAGGUUCGAAGGCGAUCAGAUACCGCCCUAGUUCUAACCAUAAACGAUGCCAGCCAGCGAUGCGCCGAAGUUCCUCCGAUGACUCGGCGCGCAGCUUCCGGGAAACCAAAGCUUUUGGGUUCCGGGG